CAAGGAAUAGUUUAUGUAGAAUUUCAGCUUUGGGUGCUGAUGGUGAGGUUUAGUGCUUCUUCCUUGA